UGCCCGAAGCAAAGUUAAUAUUCUAUGGCCUAAUUGGAAGUCAAUUUCUAAGGAGACGAAGGAUAGGAUUUGGGAAUAUAUUUUGCAAACGUAUGACAUCCCUCGUACUGAGCAAAUGAAAAAGUAUUUGUUGCAGCAAGUUCGUCAGCGUUGGAAAGAUUUUAAGCACACACUCACGAGCCAGUAUGUGCGAGGGCCUAAGAAAGAUGAUGAUCCGUGCGAAAAAUACUCCUUCCUUGAUCCAGAUGAUUGGAGGAGGAAUUAAGUGCGAUGAAUAAAGAAAGGCAAGCUAAAAAUUUAUAUCCGCACUAUUUAUCCCGUGGAGGUUACAAGAUGCUUGAGGAGAGGAUCAUGCAGAAUGACUUUAAGGCGAUGCAGGAAGCUGCAAAAUCUGAUCCUAGUAUCGUUGUUCAGACCCCACCUCCUCCUCCACGUCAUAGAAAAUGGA